rnacentral:rRNA from 1 species
UACGUAGGGCGCAAGCGUUGUCCGGAAUUAUUGGGCGUAAAGAGCUUGUAGGUGGCUCGUUGCGUCGGGAGUGAAAACCUGCGGCUUAACCGCAGGCCUGCUUCCGAUACGGGCGAGCUAGAGUUCGGCAGGGGAGACUGGAAUUCCUGGUGUAGCGGUGGAAUGCGCAGAUAUCAGGAGGAACACCGGUGGCGAAGGCGGGUCUCUGGGCCGAUGACUGACACUGAGAAGCGAAAGCGUGGGGAGCGAACAGGA